CGCUGCUUAGUCACGGCCCCUCCCCCCCCCGCCCCCCCCCGGGGCCGCGGCGCGAACGCCUCUCCACCCCACCAUGGCCGCCUGUCCCACCAUGCCCAGUCCCUCCCCACCACCCCCAGAGUGCCCGGCCGAGGUGACGCCUUCCUCCUCCUCCUCCUCCUCCUCCUCGCCCCCGCCGUGCCGCUACACGCUGUCCGAGCACCCCGCGGCCGCGCUGGCGGCCAUGAACGAGCUGCGCCUGCAGGGCCUGCGUGCCUCAGUUUCCCCCGUUCUAACCCCCCAUAACAACCCCGUAACCCAUUCCUGAGAGAUCCUGUGCCCCUCCGUGCCUCAGUUUCCCCACUCUAACCCUGUUUUUCUCCUCCCAAAUCCCAUUCUUGUCCCACUUCCCACACUCUGUGCCUCAGUUUCCCCACUCUAACCCCAUUUCUCUCCCCCCGCAGCCUUUCCACUACCCCAAAUUCCACUCCAGGGAGAUCCUGUCCCCCUCCGUGCCUCAGUUUCCCCACUCUAACCCUCUCAAAUCCCAUUCCUGUCCCCCUCCCCACAAUCCGUGCCUCAGUUUCCCCACUCUAACCCCAUUUUUCUCCCCCUACAGCCUUUCCACUACCCCAAACCCCACUCCAUGGAGAUCCUGUGCCACUCCGUGCCUCAGUUUCCCCACUCUAACCCCAUUUCUCUCCCCCUAAAUUCCAUUCCUGUCCCCUCCACACCCUCCAUGCCUCAGUUUCCCCACUCUAACCCUCUCAAAUUCCACUCCAGGGAGAUCCUGUGCCCCUCUAUGCCUCAGUUUCCCCACUCUAACCCCCCCAAAUCCCAUUCCAGGGGGUCCUGUCCCACUCCGUGCCUCAGUUUCCCCACUCUAACCCCAUUUUUUUCCCCCCACAGCCUCUCCACCCCACCAUGGCCGCCUGUCCCGCCAUGCCCAGUCCCUCCCCACCGCCCCCCGAGUGCCCGGCCGAGCCUCUCCACCCCACCAUGGCCGCCUGUCCCAGUCCCUCCCCACCUCCCCCAGAGUGCCCGGCCGAGGUGACGCCUUCCUCCUCCUCCUCCUCGUCGCCCCCGCCGUGCCGCUACACGCUGUCCGAGCACCCCGCGGCCGCGCUGGCGGCCAUGAACGAGCUGCGGCUGCAGGGCCGCCUGCGUGCCUCAGUUUCCCCCGUUCUAACCCCCCAUAACAACCCCGUAACCCAUUCCAGGGGGUCCUGUCCCACUCCGUGCCUCAGUUUCCCCACUCUAACCCCCCAUAACAACCCCAUAUUCCAUUCUAGGGUGAUCCUGUGCCCUUCUGUGCCUCAGUUUCCCCACUCUAACCCUGUUAUUUUACCCCUAAAUCCCAUUCCUGUCCCCGUCCCCACCCUCCGUGCCUCAGUUUCCCCACUCUAACCCCCCAUAACAACCCCAUAACCCAUUCCAGGGGGUCCUGUGCCCU